rnacentral:misc_RNA from 1 species
CUGUGGAACUGGUAAGACGACCUUCCGGCAAGUCUUUGACUUGUCUCGAGGUAUGAACCUUCCCGUGCUUUUUAGAACAUAGAUGGCACCAGUCAGGUGACUAUCGAAACGUAAUACGCCGCGAUGACUUCGGUCACGACGGUAUGGCGAGCUUUCGCCGUCCACGUUUCUCUUUCUUCAAAAGGAUAUCGAACCAUGGGUUUGCGCUCGCGCGCUGUUUGCACCUUCGGUGCUGCGCUCCGCGAGGGCGCCGGACGACCGGCGACGGCCUCUGGCCUGUAUGGGCGGCUCUUUCUGAGGUUUUGCUCAGGUUAGGCGUCAACGCAGAGAGAUGGGCCCGUAGCUCAGUUGGUUAGAGCACACGCUUGAUAAGCGUGGGGUCGGAAGUUCAAGUCUUCCCGGGCCCACCAUUUGCACCGGCAAAUGAGGUUUGCUGUAGCGAAUUGUGGUUUGUUUGGGUUUACCUGAUCCUGGCGGUUUGCUGUCAGGUGUUUGCGAUGGUUGGGGCUGUAGCUCAGCUGGGAGAGCACCUGCUUUGCAAGCAGGGGGUCAGCGGUUCGAUCCCGCUCAGCUCCACCAAUUCGCUUGGUGUCGAGACUGAGAGAUAUCCUUUGAAGAAAUAAAAGUUUUGCACCGGCUUCGAGCUGUUGCGUGUUCUGCAUACAUUGUGAAGAGAAGAUUGAUCUGGAGGCUUCCAGGUGUUGUGGGUUUUGCCCAUGAUGUCCGAGCCCAGUUCCUGUGAAACCAUGGAUGGCCUAGCCGGCCGGAUGUGGUGGAGGGAUUGGAGGUAGGUAGGAAGCUUGUCGCUCUGGAUCGUCCAGCGUAAACCGCGUAGCGGUUUAUCGCGUGUUGUUCGUUGCCUUUGGGCAUCGUCUGACGGACGAUCGGAUUACCGUUGCCUGACCGCGCGGUAUCGGAUCCAAUCUCGAGAAGCUGGUCUUAAGACAGGCUGCAAGCGAGCUGCUCGGCGUAGCUCCAAUAAAGCAGACCUGUCGAACACGUUAAUGGCAUUGUUAGAAAGCGUGAUUGUAAAAGGUAAUCACGCAUGUUUGGCCCGACUGCACGGCAAUCGCAAGGUUGUCCGGAUGGUCGGAUUUGGCACCCCGCGAGGCGAAAGCGAAGCGGACAAGGUCUGCCAAAUCAAACAAAGACGAUGAGCAUUGGCAAUGAGAACGAUUAAGUGUCGUAAGGGCAUUUGGUGGAUGCCUUGGCAUGCACAGGCGAUGAAGGACGUGAUACGCUGCGAAAAGCCGUGGGGAGCUGCGAAUGAGCUUUGAUCC